rnacentral:lncRNA from 1 species
CUCCUACUUCACGACUCUCUUUCCAGAAACCCAUUCUCUCCCUUCUUUCUCCUUCAAACUUCUUUCUACCAUAACUUUCAUUCUACAACUCCAAUUCUUGCGCCGCUUUCGCCUUUAGGAUCGUAUGAACGAGCUCUACAAGAUAAGGUAAACCAUUCUUGGAUUUGGAUUUGCUUUAAUCUCUUGUUUCCAAGUGUGGUUUGGGAGAAUGGUGGUCACUACUAGGCAGCUCAUUGAAGGUUGAGGAUUACUUUGGAGCUGUUAAGGUAAGAUUUGUUUGCCAUACUUGCUGCUGGAAUUCUAGUACAGUGUACAUUGAUUUAAGUGAGAUUGUGUAAGUGAUUUCGGAUGUUAUUUGAUGACAUGCAAAUACAGUAGGUGAAGAAUCUACCUUGGGCUGAACCUACAGAGAAGUCAGAGUAAUUUUGGGUUGAAGUGGAAGUUGGGUAAGUUUCUACUUUCAAGUUUGUGGCCUUGGUAGUUGGGUGUGUUGGAUAAUUACGAGUUUGUUGAGGGGAUAAUAGUCAUUUUAUCUUAAAUUUGGGACUGUUUUGGUGUUUAAAGCUGAUUAGAACUGAAUGCCAAAGAAUGAGACGGAUGUUGAUGAAAUCUGAGUAUGUGUUCUGUUCUGGACAAAAUGAUCUAGUUCGUAUUUAUGUUUUAAACUGGGUUUUUGAUGGGUGAAAAAUAGACAUUUCGAUGAGUAUUUCAAUUCAAAUAUGAUUUCAUUCAAAUUGGAGUUAAAUUGGAUUUUUGGCAAAUUUUCCAAGUUGGAAUUAUUCUGCAGAAAACAGAAAGCUCUGCAGCCUAUUCUGUUUUGGAUUUAGUCUUUGUCUUGCUUCGUUAACUCAGAAUUCAAUGAAAUUUUGAUAUGUUGAAGUUUUAUAUGUCUACUUGUGAUCUGGAAAUUUUUACAUCAUUUCGAAUCAAUAUGGAUUUAUAGUGAUUUUCCAAAGUCAAGUUGUUCCUGCCUGAUUUAUUUAACAAAACUGAAGUUUCUGUUUUUAAUUGAAGUCUUUGAUUUUUUUAUUAGUCCAGAGCAGAACCACUUGAUCAGACACUAUCCCAAGAGCUAGAAUUGUCCUAAUGACACACAAUUAUUACAUAUGUUAUCCCUAAAUUUAUAUUGUUAGUGCCUUAUUUAAAUUUGUUUUAUUAUGUUUAUUCAGUUUUCUGUUUUUAGGUACAUCUUUCAUAAGUGCAGCCAUCACCGGAGAAAAAUAAGCAAACUUAUGCUUGAGGUGUUGCCCAACCUAGAAAAGAAGAAGCAAUAACCAGCAGAUAUUGAAAAUGAAGCUUGGAGUGCCGCACCAAGCUUUUAAGCAAGCUAAUGGAUUGAAUAAGAAGAAGCAAUAACCAGCAGAAUAUGUUUUGUUGUCGGAACCUAC